GAAACCCGGGCUAAUACCGGAUAAGACCACGGUUCUAACGUUUCGUGGGAAAAGUGGGGGACCUCUUCGGAGGCCUCAUGCCUGGAGAUGAGCCCGCGGCCCAUCAGCUUGUUGGCGAGGUAAUGGCUCACCAAGGCUAAGACGGGUAGCUGGUCUGAGAGGAUGAUCAGUCACACUGGAACUGAGACACGGUCCAGACUCCUACGGGAGGCAGCAGUGGGGAAUUUUGCGCAAUGGGCGAAAGCCUGACGCAGCAACGCCGCGUGAGUGAUGAAGGUCUUCGGAUCGUAAAGCUCUGUCGGCAGGAACGAUGCAAAUACUGGUUAAUAGCCAGUGAUUGUGACGGUACCUGCAAAGGAAGCACCGGCUAACUCUGUGCCAGCAGCCGCGGUAAGACAGAGGGUGCAAGCGUUGUUCGGAAUUAUUGGGCGUAAAGCGCACGUAGGCGGCUAGGUAAGUCGGAUGUGAAAGCCCAGGGCUCAACCGUGGAAGUGCAUCCGAAACUGCUUGGCUUGAGUGCCGGA
rnacentral:rRNA from 1 species